rnacentral:rRNA from 1 species
GGGUGGUAAUGCCGGAUGCUCCAGUUGAUUGCAUGGUCUUCUGGGAAAGCUUUCGCGGUAUGGGAUGGGGUCGCGUCCUAUCAGCUUGACGGCGGGGUAACGGCCCACCGUGGCUUCGACGGGUAGCCGGCCUGAGAGGGCGACCGGCCACAUUGGGACUGAGAUACGGCCCAGACUCCUACGGGAGGCAGCAGUGGGGAAUAUUGCACAAUGGGCGCAAGCCUGAUGCAGCGACGCCGCGUGAGGGAUGGAGGCCUUCGGGUUGUAAACCUCUUUUAUCGGGGAGCAAGCGAGAGUGAGUUUACCCGUUGAAUAAGCACCGGCUAACUACGUGCCAGCAGCCGCGGUAAUACGUAGGGUGCAAGCGUUAUCCGGAAUUAUUGGGCGUAAAGGGCUCGUAGGCGGUUCGUCGCGUCCGGUGUGAAAGUCCAUCGCUUAACGGUGGAUCCGCGCCGGGUACGGGCGGGCUUGAGUGCGGUAGGGGAGACUGGAAUUCCCGGUGUAACGGUGGAAUGUGUAGAUAUCGGGAAAGAACACCA